rnacentral:rRNA from 2 species
CCUACGGGCGGCUGCAGUGGGGAAUAUUGGACAAUGGGCGAAAGCCUGAUCCAGCCAUGCCGCGUGAGUGAUGAAGGCCUUAGGGUUGUAAAGCUCUUUUGUCCGGGAAGAUAAUGACGGUACCGGAAGAAUAAGCCCCGGCUAACUUCGUGCCAGCAGCCGCGGUAAUACGAAGGGGGCUAGCGUUGUUCGGAUUUACUGGGCGUAAAGCGCACGUAGGCGGAUCUUUAAGUCAGAGGUGAAAUCCCAAGGCUCAACCUUGGAACUGCCUUUGAUACUGGGGAUCUCGAGUUCGGGAGAGGUGAGUGGAACUGCGAGUGUAGAGGUGAAAUUCGUAGAUAUUCGCAAGAACACCAGUGGCGAAGGCGGCUCACUGGCCCGAUACUGACGCUGAGGUGCGAAAGCGUGGGGAGCAAACAGGAUUAGAUACCCGUGUAGUC